UACGUAGGCAGCGAGCGUUGUUCGGAGUUACUGGGCGUAAAGAGUGCGUAGGCGGUUUUCUAAGUUUGGUGUGAAAUCUCCCGGCUCAACUGGGAGGGUGCGCCGAAGACUGGAAGGCUUGAGUAUGGGAGAGGUAAGCGGAAUUCCUGGUGUAGCGGUGAAAUGCGUAGAUAUCAGGAGGAACACCUGCGGUGUAGACGGCUUACUGGACCAUAACUGACGCUGAGGCACGAAAGCUAGGGGAGCGAACGGG
rnacentral:rRNA from 1 species